rnacentral:rRNA from 1 species
UACGAAGGGGGCUAGCGUUGCUCGGAAUUACUGGGCGUAAAGCGUGUGUAGGCGGCUAGGUAAGUCGGAUGUGAAAGCCCCGGGCUCAACUCGGGAAGUGCACUCGAUACUGCUUAGCUAGAGUACCGGAGAGGUUGGUGGAAUUCUCGGUGUAGAGGUGAAAUUCGUAGAUAUCGAGAGGAACACCGGUGGCGAAGGCGGCCAACUGGACGAGUACUGACGCUGAGACACGAAAGCGUGGGGAGCAAACAGG